rnacentral:rRNA from 1 species
AGCAGUCGCCGCGGUAAAACGUAGGGUGCGAGCGUUAAUCGGAAUUACUGGGCGUAAAGCGUGCGCAGGCGGUUCGUUAAGACUGAUGUGAAAUCCCCGGGCUUAACCUGGGAACUGCAUUUGUGACUGGCGAGCUAGAGUAUGGCAGAGGGGGGUAGAAUUCCACGUGUAGCAGUGAAAUGCGUAGAGAUGUGGAGGAACACCAGUGGCGAAGGCGGCCAUCUGGGACAACACUGACGCUGAGGCACGAAAGCGUGGGGAGCAAACAGGAUUAGAUACCCCAGUAGUCCCUGUCUCUUAUAC